GUCUGUUAAGUGAAGCCCUCAGAUUAUCCAAGAAAGUUUUACUGAAGGACCUUUGUCAGUUGGCUUCUCAGCUUAUAAGCUGUCUGCAUCAAAUUGUAGGCGUGGCCCUAAGAAAGUAGCCCAGCCUGCCAGUUCUUCUGUCCCUGUGCUGGGAAUCUGCCAUCCCUCUUCUUCUGCCUUCAGCAUCCUGCCUUCAUGUGCCUUGUGGGCGGGCUUCCUGUCAGGGACCACUUUGUCAUUUGGAAUUUGGAGACUGGGUUUUUAAAAGGUCAGCUGAGGCCAGGACCCAAAGACAAGACUUGUGCGAAACCUAUUUAUUCUGGCAGGCCAUCUUCUUUCAAAGGCCACUGGGGAUCCGUGCAAGGAGACUCCACCCAAAAGGAGAGGGAGCAAGG